AGUCACUGACAUUAGAUACCCGCGUAGUCCCAGCCGUAAACAAUGUGCGUUAGGUGUGUCGGUAACCACGUGUUACUGAUGCGCCGAAGAGAAAUCGUGAAACGCACCACCUGGGAAGUACGGUCGCAAGGCUGAAAUUUAAAGGAAUUGGCGGGGAGCACCACAACAGGUGGAGCCUGCGGUUUAAUUGGAUUCAACGCCGGACAUCUCACCGGAUAAGACAGCUGAAUGAUUGUCAAUCUGAAGGUUUUACAUGACUAGCUG
rnacentral:rRNA from 1 species